CCCGGCCCCUUCGGGACACGCCCCCACUUUUUUUUCCGUAAAAUUCCUUUAUUUGCCCUUUUUCCCUCAGCUUUUGUCCCUUUUAACCCUUUCCUUCCCCCCCCCCCCCCCCCCCCGCCGUCCCCAAUGGCCUCGGCGGCCCCCGGGGCGGUUGCUAAGGGGAACGGCGCCGUUGCUAUGGGAACGGCGCCGUCGCUAGGGGAGGACGGCGUUGUUGCUAGGGGGCGGUGCGCCGUUGCUAGGGGAGGUGCGCCGUUGCUAGGGGGAGGGACGCAGUUGCUAGGGGUGGAACGCGGUUGCUAGGGGUGGAACGCGGUUGCUAGGGGAAACGGCACGCCGCCAGGCCGCGCCCCCUGCGAGCGCGGCGGGGCCAAUCAGGGCGCGUUGCUAGGUAGAUUAAGGGCUCCUGCGUGCCCCUAUCCAAACGCUACGGUGGCUCAGAGUGGACAAAAGACCUCGGAGUGCGUUCGCUGCGGGUUGGGCCUGUGUUGCUUCCCAGUAUGGCCCAGUAUGGCCCAGUAUGGCCCAUAUAGCCCAGUAUAGCCCAGUAUAGCCCAGUAUGUCCCAGUAUGGCCCAAUGCCUCCCAGUAUGGCCCAGUACAGCCCAGUAUAGCCCAGUAAGCCUCCUGCAGCAGUGCAGGGGGUGUUUGGUGUCCUCCAGUAUGUCCCAGUAUGUCCCAGUAUAUCCCAGUAUGGCCCAGUAAGCCUCCAGCAGCAGCGUAUGAGGUGUUUGGGGUCUCCCAGUAUGUCCCAGUAUGAACCAGUCCACCCCACAACUCCCCUGGGCUUCAUCUGCCAGUGGCGCGAAAAAAAGAGCCCCAAAUGGUCAAAUUCCUAUUUUUAACCUUAUUUUUCUCCCCUAUCUUUAACCUUUGUUGUUGUUGUUGUUGAGUUUUGCCCCCCCUCGGGGUGUUUUGGGCUAAAACGGGGUGUUUUUGGCCAAAAGCAGCUGCGCCAGGCAAAUGAGGCCUUUUGGGGAAAAAAACAGGAGCUUUGGGUUAAAAAUAGCGCUGAG